rnacentral:rRNA from 1 species
CUACGGGGGGCAGCAGUGGGGAAUAUUGCACAAUGGGGGAAACCCUGAUGCAGCAACGCCGCGUGAAGGAAGAAGGUUUUCGGAUUGUAAACUUCUAUCAGCAGGGAAGAUAAUGACGGUACCUGACUAAGAAGCCCCGGCUAACUACGUGCCAGCAGCCGCGGUAAUACGUAGGGGGCAAGCGUUAUCCGGAUUUACUGGGUGUAAAGGGUGCGUAGGCGGCAAAGUAAGUCAGAUGUGAAAGCCCGUUGCUCAACAACGGGACUGCAGUUGAAACUACUUAGCUAGAGUACAGGAGAGGUAAGUGGAAUUCCUAGUGUAGCGGUGAAAUGCGUAGAUAUUAGGAAGAACACCAGUGGCGAAGGCGGCUUACUGGACUGUAACUGACGCUGAGGCACGAAAGCGUGGGGAGCGAACAGGAUUAGAUACCCGGGUAGUC